GGGGGUGUCCUGGUUUCGACAGGAUACAGCUGACUCAUAACUGCAGUGGUUUGGUAGACCUUAAUACUUCUAGGUUUGAUAAAAUGCAAACGAAGAAAAAAAUGAAUUUGAAAUGCCAGCAUUUAUGUUCAAUAAUGCAACAGCUGGAGUUGCUUUAGCAGCUUAAUAAACUUUUAAAGUUUAUAGCAGUUCAACGUUAAGAAAUGUGUUUGUACUUCAUUGAUUAACGUAUUACCUAGUACAAUAGAAUGAAUGAUUCUAAUGAUAAAUUUGUUCGAAAUACCAUCAUUAGCGCUAUAAAUUUAAAUCUUGUUGCCUCUGUUGGUUUGUAGUGUAAGUUAGAGACAACUAAACUGUAGAUGUUAUGGGUUGGAGUAUUUUGGACGCGGGUUCGAUUCCCGCCAUCUCCACCA
rnacentral:tmRNA from 1 species